GUCAUGCCAAUAGGACAAUUCUACUCAUCAUGUACCUGCAGGAAAUGCCCAGUGUGCAGGGGUUUCUUUUGGAAAUAUUUUGAUCGCUGGGGUAUUUUGACCCUCCUGGGACAUCACUGAUGUUGGUGGAUAGAGAUAAAGGACACAAAACAAUGCAGGGGAUGCCUCCUAUCCAGACUAGGUAGGAAAAUGAUAAGUAUUUUGGCUAUACUGCUGCCUUCUGCCUUGACUUGUGGCUCCUUCUCAAGCUGCUGGUUUUCUACCUUGCUGCACUGAUAGUUCUUCGAGAUGAAUUAAAAUCUGACUAAAAUUCUGCUGCUUUAUGUUGGCAAAGAACCAAUGCUAUGCCUGGUAGAAUAGGAAAGGACUGAAGCUUGCUGGAACCAGUUGAAGGCAAGAUCUUCAGGGAGAGAGUGUAGCCCUCUAGCUCAGAUCUAUUGAAGCCUAAGAACAGAUGGGUGGCCAUUACCUUACUCUAUUUCUGGCCCAUCAAUGAGUACUGGAUAUCUUCCCACUUGUAACCCACAGACAACAUUAAUUCAUCUUCCUGGGGGACCUUGUUGUCAGUGCCAACAUCACUUUUAUGAAGUCAGCUUUGCCAACAGUCUUGAGGAACCAACUGUUGCGAAAAUUCAUCUCCUGCUCAGCAUUAAGAGUUGAGAAGCCAAGCUGUGAGUUGGACUUAUUGAUGACCUCAGAGGAAAGAUGUCCCAUGGUCAGCUUAAGAUUGGGAAAAGCUGGAGGUAAUCUGGUCCAAAUCACAAGAAAAUUAGAACCAAAAUCCACCUGAGGAGCA
rnacentral:lncRNA from 1 species